rnacentral:rRNA from 1 species
UGGGGAAUAUUGGACAAUGGGGGGAACCCUGAUCCAGCCAUGCCGCGUGUGUGAAGAAGGCCGUAUGGUUGUAAAGCACUUUAAGCGAGGAGGAGGGUACUGGUAGUAAUACUACUAGCUACUGGACGUUACUCGCAGAAUAAGCACCGGCGAACUCUGUGCCAGCAGCCGCGGUAAUACAGAGGGUGCGAGCGUUAAUCGGAUUUACUGGGCGUAAAGCGUGCGUAGGCGGCUAAUUGAGUCGGAUGUGAAAUCCCCGAGCUUAACUUUGAAAUUGCAUUCGAUACUGGUUAGCUAGAGUGUGGGCGAGGAUUGUAGAAUUCCAGGUGUAGCGGUGCAAUGCGUAUAGCUCUGGAGGAAUACCGAUGGCGAAGUCAGCCAUCUGGCCUAACACUGACGCUGAGGUACGAAAGCAUGGGGAGCAAACCGG